rnacentral:rRNA from 1 species
AGAGUUUGAUCCUGGCUCAGAACGAACGCUGGCGGCAUGCCUAAUACAUGCAAGUCGAACGAGAUCUUCGGAUCUAGUGGCGCACGGGUGCGUAACGCGUGGGAAUCUGCCCUUGGGUUCGGAAUAACUUCUGGAAACGGAAGCUAAUACCGGAUGAUGACGUAAGUCCAAAGAUUUAUCGCCCAAGGAUGAGCCCGCGUAGGAUUAGCUAGUUGGUGGGGUAAAGGCCCACCAAGGCGACGAUCCUUAGCUGGUCUGAGAGGAUGAUCAGCCACAUUGGGACUGAGACACGGCCCAAACUCCUACGGGAGGCAGCAGUGGGGAAUCUUGCGCAAUGGGCGAAAGCCUGACGCAGCCAUGCCGCGUGAAUGAUGAAGGUCUUAGGAUUGUAAAAUUCUUUCACCGGGGACGAUAAUGACGGUACCCGGAGAAGAAGCCCCGGCUAACUUCGUGCCAGCAGCCGCGGUAAUACGAAGGGGGCUAGCGUUGCUCGGAAUUACUGGGCGUAAAGGGAGCGUAGGCGGACAUUUAAGUCAGGGGUGAAAUCCCGGGGCUCAACCUCGGAAUUGCCUUUGAUACUGGGUGUCUUGAGUGUGAGAGAGGUAUGUGGAACUCCGAGUGUAGAGGUGAAAUUCGUAGAUAUUCGGAAGAACACCAGUGGCGAAGGCGACAUACUGGCUCAUUACUGACGCUGAGGCUCGAAAGCGUGGGGAGCAAACAGGAUUAGAUACCCUGGUAGUCC